AUAAAGAACCGUGUCCAGUAAACCAUUACCAGGAUGAAGUAGGCAAGGCCUAUUGUAAGUUGUGUCCAGCUGGGUCUAUCUGUGAUGGGGAGGGGAGAACCUCCCUGUGCUUGGGACAGGUGUGUGGAUGUGGGGAUGAUGGCUGUAUUUUCCCUCCGCAAAAUUGCGAUAGUGUACAAAAAUGCCAUGAAGGACGGGGUUCUUAUUGUCCAUUUGGCUACAAGAUGGAUUGGGGUAGCUGCAUUCCAUGUUUCCUUCACAGGGAAUGUAGAGAUAGCCGUGGCAUUGGCCAUGCUUGCCAUGUUGGUUACUGGUGUGGAUAUAGUGGGGAAACAGCUUCUAUACUAAGGGAACCUUGCCUUGAGUUUGAAAGGCUUACCUGUAUAAAUGGUCAUUUGCAUUACUGUUCUAUAGGGACAUACAAAGAUGAUCAGGGCAAUUGUGUUGCCUGCCCCGCUGGCUAUGCCUGUCAUUUUAUAGGCAGUAAGCCUAUA